UUUGCAUUAGUUAAUGAACUACAUAUAGUUGUCAAAGGGUAUCAUGUGUUUGCAGCUGGGGCUGCACUCCCACAAGUCUCUGCUGGAAAGAAGCUUCAAGAAAGAGGGAUAAAAGCAGAGCUGUGGGGUGAGAAGGGAAGAGGUAAGGGAUGCAGUUCUGGGGCACUGAUUUACAGCUGUAAAGUGGGUUUGGAAGGAAGGCUGAGAAGAUUGGGGCAUCCAGGAUAUCUUCAGUCUGUGGAGAAGAGCCUUUCCCAGAAUGGAGAUCUCUUGUCUGGACUUUGGAAAUAACUUUGGUUCUUGGAUUCCUUCUGUUGACCCAGGGUGCACUGCUGGAAGUGGCCCUUGCUGCCAUAUCCAAAAAUAAAGCCCUUUUCUUGAAGGAACGAGACAUUGAGGUUUAGUUUGCUAUGGCAGAGGCUUUGGGAAUGUGCAACAAAAAUUCAGAAGUCUAAUUAAGGAAGCAUUGAAUUUAAGGCCUGCCUUGACUUUUUCACUCAGAAAGAAUAUGGCUCUUCCUCUAUGAAUAAACCAUCCCUAUCCUGGUGAUGUGGAUGACAAGGCUCUGAUGGAUUUCAGCAACAUUAUGAAUCUCACCUGCUGGAGAUUGAGUUUAUAUGCAUGGAUACAGAACUGCUCAAAGCAAAAUGUUUCACCAUCCUCAGAUGAAUGCUUUUGGUGCUCCAAGGCAUCUCUGUGUAUUAGGGAAGAGAGCUCAUUUCCACAGAGAUAAAUGUUUUGCAGUGGUUUUAUUCUCACAAUAAGCUGAAGCUCGAAUCAAGAAAUGGAACAAUUCUUGAUUAAAAAAAAUCAUCUCAGCUCCCCUCCCCAAACAAAACACCUGCACAGGAGAUAAAUUACGUUUUAAUUAAAGUAACACAGGUUUCAGCUUCAGCAAGGAGACUGUCCAAUAGUGAGGCUUGCAGAAAAUGGAACUGGCAAGGCUCAGCUUUCAGGGCAUUGUUUAGAGACAGGAUUGAGGGGUUUGAAGGUGUGCAGGUCCAGCUUUUUGUGAAGAUUCUCUUUGAAGGUUAGGUAUUCCUGUUGUUUUCACCUUGGCUCCUGCAAGUCCACCCGUGUCCUCUGUAAAAAUCUGCUGUGCCUGAUGUUCUAAAACACUGCCCUGGGAGUCACUGACUUUGUCACUGCAGACCUUUUGGAUUUGUUAUGAGUUCACCAAGGAAUACUUAUAAUAAAGCUGUGUAAUAGCUGUCAUUUUUUGCAAAAUAUUACUUUUUUUGUAUAACUAUCCUUUAACCUAGGUAGAACUAUCACCGUUUUAGUUAACAGCUAUAAGCUAUGUGGU